GAUGGCGUAUGGAUGAAAACUAUGGUAUUUUUUGUGAUACCAUUUAUUUUUGUUUCAUUUUUUAUUUUAUUAAUAACUUGUCUGCUUUUGUAUAAACAGAAAGCUGUACUGAAAAAGGUAAGUUGUGUAACAUUAUAAUGUUUAGAUUGAGACAGUAGAUAACAAAAAAAGUCCUUUGUUUUUAACUGGUGGGCCUACAUUUUAUAACUUUGCCUCCUCACUGUGGGUACACAAUUGAUGCUGUAUAGAUUAUGAUGUCUUCAGAAAAAUACAGUAAUUCCAAAAAUUGACCUAAAAGGCUACAUUUUGGAAUUUGGUGUGGUGUUAGUUUUAUCAAAAUAGGAGAAUCAUGUUCAGAAUAUGAAAUACUAUUUACUUCUAGAUUAGUGAACAUUGAAAGAGUUACAGGGAAAACAAAGGAUUGGGAGAAAGUAGAGUGAUGGAAAAUGGUCAUAGAGUGAAGUACACUACUAGUGUGGGUCUAGGUAGGAGACGUGUCAAAAUGAUAAAACAUGCAGCCUGCCCUUGGAACUCUUGCACUAGUAGGAGGAGGCAAAAUCCAUGCAAAAACAUAACCUGUGAUACUACUUUUUUUUUUUUUGGUAGUGAGAAUCAAACCCAGGGGUGCUUUACUAAUGGGUUCUAUCUUCAUUCCUUUUUGGCGGGGAGAGAGAGGGCACCAGGGAUUGAACUCGGGGGCACUUGACCACUGAGUUUUUUUUUUUUUUUUUAGUUGUAGAUGGACACAAUGCCUUUAUUUUGUUUAUUUAUUUUUUUUUUAUGUGGUGCUGAGGAUAGAACCCAGUGCCUCACACGUUAGGCGAGCGCUCUACCACUGAGCCACAACCCCAGUCCCCUAUUUUGUAUUUUCUUUACAGACAGAGUCUCAUUGAGUUGCUUAGCACUUCUUUAAAUUGCUGAGGCUGGCUUUGAACUCACGAUCCUCCUGCAUCAGCCUCCUAAGCCACUGUGAUUACAGGCCACCACGCCCGUCUUCAGUCCUUUUUUUUUUUUUUAAACUAUUUUAUUUUACUUUAUUUUUUAUUUUGAGACAGGGUCUAAGUUGUAGAGGUUCUUUGAUAAAUUGCUAAGAACUUGCAAUCUUCUUGCCUCAGGCUCCCUAGUUGCUGGGAUUACAGGUGUGAGCCACCAGGCCCAGACUCUGAGAUGACUUUAAAUAAUUGCUAUUUGAGUUGGACUGAUAAUGUUAUAAAAUUUCAGAAGAGGAGGGGAUCACUAUGGGUUGGUGGGCUUUAAGGAGAAGUUGUAAAUUGAAGGGAAAAAAAUCUUAAUACUAUGAGUGUGCAUGAAAUGCUUCACUUUGUCUGCUGAAUGCUUUGUUUUUUUUUUCUCUGAAUUAUUGAUGAUUUAUUAAUAACAGAGCUCUUUCUAAAUUUCAGAUUUUUCUCACAAAAAAAGAAGCUUUUUCUCAUCAAGAGACACUAUGCUGACUUACCAAUUUCUAGUUAUAUGGCUGAAGGUUAAAAUGAGUUUUAUUAAAUGGAACUUCAAAUGUUGAUUACAUGUUACUGUAAAACUUUGUUGCAUCUAAAUAAGUUUUAGAGUACUGAAACCCUCAGCUAGUAGUAAAUUUACUGGAUUUUAUGAAGUUUUUGUUUUCCUCAUAAAUCUGUAGUGAUAGUGAUGCACAUAGAGAAGUCAAGGGAUAGGUGAAAUUUCUAUUCAAUGAUGUAUUAAUAAAGUGAUGUGAUUUUCCAACUUGCCCUGAGUCUGGA
rnacentral:lncRNA from 1 species